UACUCUUGACAUCCAGAGAACUUUCCAGAGAUGGAUUGGUGCCUUCGGGAACUCUGAGACAGGUGCUGCAUGGCUGUCGUCAGCUCGUGUUGUGAAAUGUUGGGUUAAGUCCCGCAACGAGCGCAACCCUUAUCCUUUGUUGCCAGCGGUUCGGCCGGGAACUCAAAGGAGACUGCCAGUGAUAAACUGGAGGAAGGUGGGGAUGACGUCAAGUCAUCAUGGCCCUUACGAGUAGGGCUACACACGUGCUACAAUGGCGCAUACAAAGAGAAGCGACCUCGCGAGAGCAAGCGGACCUCAUAAAGUGCGUCGUAGUCCGGAUUGGAGUCUGCAACUCGACUCCAUGAAGUCGGAAUCGCUAGUAAUCGUAGAUCAGAAUGCUACGGUGAAUACGUUCCCGGGCCUUGUACACACCGCCCGUCACACCAUGGGAGUGGGUUGCAAAAGAAGUAGGUAGCUUAACCUUCGGGAGGGCGCUUACCACUUUGUGAUUCAUGACUGGGGUGAAGUCGUAAC
rnacentral:rRNA from 1 species